rnacentral:rRNA from 1 species
GAUGAACGCUAGCGGGAGGCCUAACACAUGCAAGCCGAGCGGUAUUGUUUCUUCGGAAAUGAGAGAGCGGCGUACGGGUGCGUAACACGUGUGCAACCUGCCUUUAUCUGGGGGAUAGCCCUUCGAAAGGAAGAUUAAUACUCCAUAAUAUAUUGAACGGCAUCGUUUAAUAUUGAAAGCUCCGGCGGAUAGAGAUGGGCACGCGCAAGAUUAGCUAGUUGGUGAGGUAACGGCUCACCAAGGCGAUGAUCUUUAGGGGGCCUGAGAGGGUGAUCCCCCAAACUGGUACUGAGACACGGACCAGACUCCUACGGGAGGCAGCAGUGAGGAAUAUUGGUCAAUGGGUGCAAGCCUGAACCAGCCAUCCCGCGUGAAGGACGACUGCCCUAUGGGUUGUAAACUUCUUUUGUAUAGGGAUAAACCUACCCUCGUGAGGGUAGCUGAAGGUACUAUACGAAUAAGCACCGGCUAACUCCGUGCCAGCCGCCGCAGUAA